rnacentral:rRNA from 1 species
CCUGGUUGAUCCUGCCAGUAGUCAUAUGCUUGUCUCAAAGAUUAAGCCAUGCAUGUGUAAGCACACACUGUUUUAAAAGUGAAGCCGCGAAUGGCUCAUUACAACAGCCACAGUUUAUUAGAACUUACAAUCAUGGAUAACUGUGGUAAUUCUAGAGCUAAUACACGCACAAAAACUUCAACUGAAUUGGUUGAAGUGCUUUUAUUAGAACAAAAACCGAACGGCGUUUGGCGAAUGUUGAACGUCGAAACUGUUUGGUGAAUCUGAAUAACUAUUUCUGAUCGCAUGGUCUAGCACCGGCGACAUCACUUUCAAGUGUCUGCCUUAUCAACCUUCGAUGGUAGUCUAUGCGACUACCAUGGUGAUAACGGGUAACGGAGAAUCAGGGUUCGACUCCGGAGAGGGAGCCUGAGAAACGGCUACCACAUCCAAGGAAGGCAGCAGGCGCGCAAAUUACCCACUCCCAGCUUGGGGAGGUAGUGACGAAAAAUAACGAGACGAUUCUCGUUUGAGAAACGUUAUCGAAAUGAGUACGCUUUACACACGCUAACGAGUAGCAAUUGGAGGGCAAGUCUGGUGCCAGCAGCCGCGGUAAUUCCAGCUCCAAUAGCGUAUAUUAAAGUUGCUGCGGUUAAAACGCUCGUAGUUGAAUUGUGGUCUUAGACAACAGUCCCCCUACAUAGGUGUGGCACGGUUGCUCGAGAUCUUCAUUCGUGGUUGCUGUUGUUGCUCUUCAUUGAGUGUCAAUGGUGCCUCGAGAUUUUACUUUGAAAAAAUUAGAGUGCUCAAAGCAGGUUGUGAUGCCUGAAUAAUGGUGCAUGGAAUAAUAGAAUACGAUCUCGGUUCUAUUUUGUUGUUCUCGAACCGGAGAUAAUGAUUGAAGGGAACAGACGGGGGCAUUCGUAUUGCUGCGUUAGAGGUGAAAUUCUUGGAUCGCAGCAAGAUGAACAAUUGCGAAAGCAUUUGCCAAGAAUGUUUUCAUUAAUCAAGAACGAAAGUCGGAGGUUCGAAGGCGAUCAGAUACCGCCCUAGUUCUAACGGUAAACUAUGCCAACCAGCGAUUCGCCGAAGUUCAUUUAAGACUCGGCGAGCAGCUUCCGGGAAACCAAAGUGUUUCGGAUUUCAUUGUUGCAUUCUCAAACUGGAUUGUGCGAAGAGCAUGAGGAGGUAAG